AAUAGGGUGUGCUCCAGAUGUCACCAGGUCCAGGUGACGCCUCUGACCAGGAGGAGAACACCAUCCAGUGAACACCUCCAUAGGGGAAUGGAUUUCAGAGAAGACUCAGUGACCGGGUUUCUAUGACAACACUGACGUGCAUCGCGCUGAUGCGCGAUGACGUCACCACUCUGCGCCAGUGCUCGUCGGGCGGCCCUUCGCGCCGGAGCAUGCAGCUUUCCACACGUGGGUCACUUAUGUUUGGUGGGGAUAUAAGUUACCAACAGCACAAAUAGAAUACUGGUACAUUAUUCUGUAUCUAUAAAGAAGUUUUUCAUUUUCAUGGUCUGCUUUACAGUCUAUUGGAUAGAGUGCAAAAUAGAAAACAAGGAAACAGGUCAAGCAGUUAAUGAAUGGUAAAGCUGAGCCAUGAAAAAUGGAUCUUAAUGAAGUGUAACCUAAGGUAAUAAAGCUAUGAGCACCCU